rnacentral:tRNA from 1 species
GCGUCGGUAGUGUAAUGGGUCAGCAUGGCAGACCGGAUAUCUGUAAGUGCGGGUUCGAGUCCCGUCUGUUUCA